CUGCGGGGAUGAUUUCCACAAUCGAACUCUCUCUUUCUGAUGGCGUAGUGGAGAGAUCCGUAGGACAUUUCUGAGUAGC
ensembl:snoRNA SNORD26 Small nucleolar RNA SNORD26